CAAGAAAAGCCAGAGAAACUCCCUAUAUAGCCAAAAGGAGACUAAGGAAAUAUGACAAUUUAAUGUAAUGUGUUUAUCCUAGAUGGGAUCCUGGAACAGAAAAAGGACAUUAGGUAAAAACUAAGGAAA